CAUAAAUAGAUUAGCAUAGCCGAAAACCCUCAUAGCUUAUCUUACUUCCUUUCUGUUAUAAUUCUCCUAUAUGGAGUUUGUGGGACCAUACAGACUGCUGCACUUGAAAACGGUCCUAUAUGAACUACAUCUACCACAAACCUUUGUGCUCAUGGAGAGAGAAAAAACCCAAAACAAGACUAAAUGUCCCAUGAAUGCUUG